rnacentral:rRNA from 1 species
UACGGAGGGUGCGAGCGUUGUCCGGAAUCACUGGGCGUAAAGGGCGCGUAGGUGGCGAGGUUAGUCAGGUGUGAAAUCUCGGGGCUCAACCCCGAAACUGCACUUGAUACUGCCUUGCUAGAGUACUGGAGAGGAGAUUGGAAUUUACGGUGUAGCAGUGAAAUGCGUAGAUAUCGUAAGGAAGACCAGUGGCGAAGGCGAAUCUCUGGACAGUUACUGACACUGAGGCACGAAGGCCAGGGGAGCAAACGGG